rnacentral:rRNA from 1 species
UCGAGAAUCUUUGGCAAUGGGCGAAAGCCUGACCAAGCGAUGCCGCGUGCGGGAUGAAGGCCCUCGGGUUGUAAACCGCUGUCGAGGGGGAUGAAAUUCCGGUGGGUACUCCCAUCGGAUUGACAGAUCCCUGGAGGAAGGGUGGGCUAAGUUCGUGCCAGCAGCCGCGGUAAGACGAACCACCCAAACGUUAUUCGGAAUUACUGGGCUUAAAGAGUGCGUAGGCGGCCUGGAAAGUAAGGUGUGAAAUCCCACAGCUCAACUGUGGAACUGCGCUUUAAACUUCCCGGCUAGAGGGAUAUAGAGGUGAGCAGAACAGAUGGUGGAGCGGUGAAAUGCGUUGAUAUCAUCUGGAAUACCGGAGGCGAAGGCGGCUCACUGGGUAUCGUUCUGACGCUGAGGUGCGAAAGCCAGGGUAGCGAACGGGAUUAGAUACCCCGGUAGUCCUGGCUGUAAACGAUGAGCACUAGAUCGAGGUCCUGCACAGGUUCUCGGUCGUAGAC